CACCUUGUCUCCCACCAAAGCAUCUGAAGUGGGUGGACUUGAGUAUGUAGGAGACGACAGGCCCACUUCCAUCCAGAGCCUACAAUUUGGGAACUUUAUUUUCCUGGGGAUCUACCAGGCUGGUGAAACAGGCCAUAUAAAUAGACAACCGAGGUGUGCCUAGUUUGACUCUCUCUAUACCAGUGGUUCUCAUCCCGUGGACCACUUACGGCCCAAUCAGCACACAGCUGCGAUAUACAUAGAUAGAUAGUGUGGAUGCGCUUCCCGGAACACAGUGAGCCGCAUAUGCAGCCCACAGUGAUAAAUAGGUUGAGAACCACUGCUCUAUACAUACCUAAGAGAGGUACCUACUUCACAUCUCUCUAGCAUCCUUCAGGCCAGAGCCGGAGCCCUCUGAUUCUCUUUCUUUUGAACGGUUGUAUUUUCUGACCCUUCUGAUUUGUGUGAGAAGCUGCUGUUGUCCUUCUAUUCUAUUUUCUUUUCUUUUUCAGAUUUCUUGUCUGUUUAAUUGGGUAUGUUGCCUUAGUUGGAGGGUUUGGGGGUCAUGUUAAUUAUUCAGUUCAAUUCAGUUUAGUUUAGGCACCAGAGACCUUUGUAUACAUACUGCCAAGAGAUGAGUGAUGAUUAUACUACUUGUCUUCUUCAGAGGCGUAUUGUGACGAUUAAUUUGUGUUUGUAAUUUACUUUCAAGAUUUAAAUGUCUGUGCAAGCAGUAAGGAUUGUUGCCUCCUAAUUCUUCAAGCUGAUGUAAACUUUCAAAAUAAGAUUUCUGGCCACAAAAGCCCAGCAGAAAUGGCAAGAGUUCAAUUGCUUUGAAAUCAGACAAGUGUUUAGUGUCUUUAAAAUCAGUCCCCUACUCUAUGCCCCUUCCAAACCUGCAUUGCAAACUCUGAUAGCUCCUCUUCUUUUUCAGGAAUCCAGUGUGCUCAUCGCUGCUAACAGUCAGGGUACAAUUAAGGUACUGGAGCUGGUAUGAAGUGUUUUCUCUCAAGGCGUGAGGUACUUGGUCCUGCUGACAUGCUACAGCUUUCAUCUGGAAUCUUCAGUGGGGCGAGAAACCGAAACCACCUUGAUAUUCCUCUCCACAGCCAUCAUGUUUGGGUUUUUUUUCCAUUUACGGACUCUAUAGGACCUUUUGAAACACAGGGAACACCAGUAAACUGUCUGCCAUCAAGGUUAACUCCACGGACUUUGCUGCUGCUUGUAUGGUUGUCUAAUUUUUAUGAUAGGGGAAACAAAUUCUUUUAAAUAAAAACAAAUAACAAAAAGGAAUAAUAAAGAUUAUUGAGCCACAAGGUGAAGCUGGAAGAUUCUCUCUUGUUGCAUAUGGGAACAGAUUUACUUGGGAAGGGAGCUAACAGGACCACAGAAGGGAUGUACUAUGGAAUCACACACUUCUGGGUUACCUUACUUGGCUUUUCCUCCAUCCCCACAAGUGGAAAAAAAAAAUCUCUUUAGCCUUAUCUGGACAUUGAAGCAGUUUGCUUUGAGAGCAGAGCAUAAGAUAUAUGUGGUUUAGUUGUGUGUUGGUUUUUUAGAUGCAUUCAUUGUUCAUGAAAAUUGCCAGGUUGACAGUUCUAGAGACUGAAGUCCUCCAGAUACAACAGGAAGGUGGCAGCUUCCCCCUCCCCAUGCCAGUAUGCCUCAAUGCUGACCUGGAGGGACUGCUUGUAAGGAUGGGGUCAUUGUCUCCGUGCUCACAAAAUCCUUGGUGUCUCUGCAGCUUGCCAACAAAACAAGGGUACCAACUGUGACGUGGACAUCUGUUGACUGCGAACUGGACUGACUCACUAAACUAUUUCUCAUAGGGCACCAAACUGCCAUUAGCUGAUGACUUCUUGCACUGCUGAGUGGGGCUGGAUUUGAAUCAUUCGGCUAGAGGUGAAAGGCUCCAGAUCCUGUUACCAGAGCCCUGCUGUGUCAUCCACUCUGCCACAUGGCUUGUGUUUGUCUCCAGUUCAUAUCGUGGGGAAGCCAAGCAUUUUGAAUGUUGUAAUGAGGGGGGAAUUUGAUUGAUUGUAAUGUGUUUCAAAGCUGUGAUCCAGGAGCUUUAUUUUUAAUAACCAGGCAUACACUUAAUUGUACAUAUGGAAAGGGGGAAUAAACCAUGAGGCUGAGUGUUAAGUUGUUACUGUGUGAGGGUUCAAAAAGAUAGAUCACAUUAUCAUGCAUGACAAUAAUAACAGAGCUUCCAGGACCACUACCCCAGUAUAAGUUUAAAGUUGAAUUAGAAGGUAUAGCAUUUUAUCUGUUUCCACUCUCAUCUGCCUGAAGAAUUGCUGUGUGCAUAGUGACACCAGAUGGAAAUGUUUUAUUUACAGGCAUCUCACUUGAAUUUACUCUGGUCCCACAUUCAACUUGUCCCUUUCAGUCUGGGAGUACCACAUGGGUGCUGGGCUUCACUUGGUAAAAGGGAGAGCUUUGCAUUCCCUCACAUCUCAUUUGGGAACUAGUUGCCUGGCUGUGAAAGGCAUCCUAGCUCAUCCAAAGAUUAAUGGUUUGGUUGGAGCUUCCUGGAAGGAUGAGGUGUGAGAUCCUUGUGACCCCGGUCCUAGGGACAGAGAGAGAGAGAGAGUGUGUAAAGGUGGGCUUGAGAUUAAAGCAAAAGACUGAGAUUUGAGCAUUGUGAAGUCUAAUGCUGACUGCCAUAGGUGUCCCGAGUGACAUUUGGUGAGUCAUUAACUUCUCCACAUGCCGGUGAUAUCCAUUGCUGAGGGUGAGAUGUGCUAGCCAUAACAGACAGGAGUUGUGAGGUUUACUAGCGCUAAUUUGCUUAUAAAGUGCAUUGAAAAUCCCAACUGGGAAGAUGCUGUAGAUGAACAAAAUUACUAUUGUCGUCCUUAGGAUUGCAUCUGGCAGGGAGGAGGAGAUGAGGGUCCUUGACUCCAAAUACAGUUUGGAGGUGGUUUCUCAAGUGCUUUGUUUUCUUCCCUGGCUUCAGGGGUGGGUGAGCAGGGAGGGAGGAUGUUCAGCUGGGGAAGGACCAAUCAGAAGCAAGAGAGAGCAUGACAGCAACUCCCCCACUUAAGGUGCCAUCUUCAGGUCUCAGCCAUAUGAACCAUGGGAAUCAGCAUGGCAGAAGGAAGUUCAAAUGGCACCCCUGGCUGUGGGCAUUUCCUCUGUCACAGGGUUGGUGCGCGUGAAAUGCCCAGCAAAGCAGCAACUCUUGAUUUUCAUUUUGCUGCUUCUAAAAAAAAACAAAAAAAAAAACACAAUUUUGCAGAUGAGUGACUACUUCCAGAUGUUUUUCCCAGACUCAGCUCUAUCAGGGACACAUUUUGUCAUUGAUUUCCCCAAUUCAGUAUCUUAUCCCAGGUGGCUUUGCAUAAUUGUCAGCUGUAAUGCCUUUAUUUAGCCAAAGGGUUUUCUUGAUUUGGUGGUUGGUGUGGCAGCUUUUGCUCUUAAGUUCAAAAAGGUAGGAAAUCUCUGUCAUCUUGCAAGUGGAUUUUCCCCAAGUUCCGUUUUGAUGGGGGUGUUUUCACAAAAUAGCUUUUUGGCACCUGCCGAUUUUCUUUAAAGAGGUUGCCAUCAGCAGUGCAUAGCAAUCUGUUGUUUUGAAGAAGUAAAACUCCUUCCCUGCGUUUGGACAGCAGGGAACAUAGGAUCAGCAUAGAUCAAAACUUGGUUGUACUUCACCCAGCCCUGUGCCCAAGCAGCCAUUCUCAAUAGGUGACAUUACACUUCCUUUUCUUCUCCCACACACUGAAAAUCUGUUGUUGGGUUUUUUAAUUGAAAAUUGGUCUGGUGAGGCAGAGAUCUUAAAACAAGAAGCAAAAUACAUACCAUGUAUGCUCUGAGUACUUUGCGAAUUAAAUGGAGAACAGUUUAA